CAGAAUGGACAGCAAACAGCCUGGCUGGUGGAUAAAGCUAAUCCAGGCCAGGCCAGGGCCAGGCAGGAGGGGGGCACCCUCACAAGGAAGUAUGCUGGAAAACCUCGGCCUAGCUCUCUAAUGCCAGGUUAGGUGUGAGGACAGUCUAGGUAAUGAGAAAAUGAGCUAUGACUUGUAUAGAUGGCAAAGAGCACUGAGGGUUCCUGCU